UUAAAACGUCGUGAGACAGUUUGGUCCCUAUCUUCCGUGGGCGCUGCAAGAUUGAGAGAGCCUGCUCCUAGUACGAGAGGACCGGAGUGGACACACCUCUGGUGUAUCGGUUGUCACGCCAGUGGCAUUGCCGAGUAGCUACGUGUGGAAGAGAUAACCGCUGAAAGCAUCUAAGCGGGAAACUCGUCUCAAGAUAAGUCUUGCCGGGGCCUUGAGCCCCCUGAAGGGUCGUUGUAGACCACGACGUUGAUAGGCUGGGUGUGGAAGCGCAGUAAUGCGUUAAGCUAACCAGUACUAAUUGCCCGAGAGGCUUGACCCU
rnacentral:rRNA from 1 species